GCAAAAUCAUCAUGUGAAACAAUUUACAACAGAAGACUAAAAUAAUGUUAAAGGAGCACUAGUAGAAGUAAUGAAGCAGCAGUCGUUUAAUCCAAGGUAGACUCACAAAGUGCCUUAACAAUACCGGUGUCUAUUUAGCAACUUCUAUUACAGAGUGGCUUCCAAGCUGUGGUCCCUUGUAUCCUCUUUGUUUACAUUUCACAAGUGCUAAUAAGGACCGUGGCGGAAGCUGGAAGCAGCAGAAGUUGGAGAACAAACUGAAGGUAUAGAUUUACCCACCCACUCCCAUAAAAGAAAAGAAAAAACAACUUAUUCAUGAUUGAGACUUUCGAAACACUUACUAUAGGGGUAUUGAUAAACAACACUUGUGCUGUCUUCAUUAUCUAAUACAACUGUAACACAAGGCUUAUCUUUCCCAGGAAUGUUAGGGUGUAUUUUAUAGCACAGACUAUUAAAUUUGGUAGUUACAUCUCCAUCCAUGAGGAACCAUUUGUUUAUUCUCUAUCUUAUUGAAACAACUUCAAUAUAAUUAGCGAUUUUGGGUUUCUCCAGCUAUGUGACUAUGACUUGCUCCAUAAAUAAAUCACAAGAGAUAUCAAGGCCGAGCUAGAAUAAACAAGUUGCCUUGUUAUUUCAAGCUAGAUAAAGCACUUCACUCGCUAAAGAAGAAACAGCAAUCAUAAUUACUGAAAUGUCAAGAGGUACAAGAAACGAACUGCUAAAUGAUACAGGGCAACAGAAUUCUAAAGGCAUUAUCAGCCUAUAGUCCUAUACCAUUGCUCUAUCCCACAUCCUAUAUUUUCAAGAUACACAGCACUCUGGAACAAAAUUCAAUAUAAAAUUUUGAACAUGAUGCAAGUGACGACCCAAAAAAUCAAAUAAAUGCCAAAGUUUGAAGCCUUAUUGGCCAGGAAGAAUCAAUUGUUCUUCCCAUAACUAAAAAUGUUAAAUGAAAAGAAAAUGAAAUGGCACAUCUAAGCAUACACUAUAAGACAUCCAAGCAAUGAUGACACAAACUAAUUACCGAUUCCUAUGAUUCUGUCUUGCAUAUAGACAGGGCCAUCCACAAUACAAUAUCACUACACUCACGAGGAUUUGAAUAGAAGAAAAUGAUCUUACAAAGAUCUCCUUUAUGAUCUUACAAAUAUCUCCUUGGUAUUAUUUACUGAUCUCCUGUGUUAUAUUUUACUAAUUCCUGUGAAACGGGUCAUAUAACUAUAUUAACGGGUCAUAUAACUAUAAUAACAUUUGUAAGCCAUAAGACUGAUCUCCCCUACACUCGCUAAAGAGUAUACUGAAGUGUCAUGAUCCCUAGGGCCCCAUUAUUUUCCAAUUCGAGUUUUAAUCUCCCUCUUCUUCAAGUAUCUACC
rnacentral:lncRNA from 1 species